GAGUUGAUCAUGGCUCAGGAUGAACGCUGGCGGCGUGCUUAAUACAUGCAAGUCGAACGAAGACAUCUCGCCGAAGCUUGCUUCAUUGAGAUAUCUUAGUGGCGGACGGGUGAGUAACGCGUGGGUAACCUGCCUUACACAGGGGGAUAACAGUUAGAAAUGACUGCUAAUACCGCAUAAGCGCACAUUAUCGCAUGAUAGAGUGUGAAAAGAUUUAUCGGUGUAAGAUGGACCCGCGUCUGAUUAGCUAGUUGGUGAGGUAACGGCCACCAAGGCGACGAUCAGUAGCCGGCCUGAGAGGGUGAACGGCCACAUUGGGACUGAGACACGGCCCAAACUCCUACGGGAGGCAGCAGUAGGGAAUAUUGGACAAUGGGGGAAACCCUGAUCCAAGCGACGCCGCGUGAGUGAAGAAGUAUUUCGGUACGUAAAGCUCUAUCAGCAGGGAAGAAAAUGACGGUACCUGACUAAGAAGCACCGGCUAAAUACGUGCCAGCAGCAGC
rnacentral:rRNA from 1 species